UGGAUUUUCGAAUUCAUAGUG
rnacentral:piRNA from 1 species